rnacentral:rRNA from 1 species
CCGGGAAACUGGGGCUAAUACCAGAUAGGCGAAGACGCCUGGAAUGGUUCUUCAUCCAAAGGGCUUUGGAAACAUGCUUUUCAAAGUCGCCUGGGGAUGGGGCCGCGUCCGAUCAGGUUGUUGGUGAGGUAAUGGCUCACCAAGCCUAUAACCGGUACGGGCCGUGAGAUCGGUAGCCCGGAUAUGGGCACUGAGACAAGGGCCCAGGCCCUACGGGGCGCAGCAGUCGCUAAAACUCCGCAAUGCACGAAAGUGUGACGGGGCUACCCCGAGUGCCGUCCGCUGAGGAUGGCUUUACCUCAGUGUAACUAGCCGGGGGAAUAAGGAGAGGGCAAUACUGGUGUCAGCCGUCGUGGUAAUACCAGCUCUCCGAGUUGUAGGGAUGAUUAUUGGGCUUAAAGCGUCCGUAGCUGGCUUAGCAAGU